UAUGUAAAGUAAAUACCUCCUUGUCUCUUGAACCCUAGAAAGGAAGAGGAGGGAAAAGACAGGGAAUGUAGCUUAAUGCCAGCAUAAGCAAAGGCAUUGGGUUUAAUAUUCAGCAUUGGAAGGGGCAGGGGAGGGGGGAAAACCACACAUAUUCAGUAACAUAUAUACAGAAAAGGUUGUAAGCUGAGAGAGAGAAAUAUGUAUGUAUAUGUAUUAUAUAUCUAUAGAUUAUAUAUCCUGAAGGUUAACAUGUAGUAGAAACAGUAGAGGAAGUAAGUCAAGGAAAGAACACCAACACAAUAGCACAGAGAUGUGGAAAUGAGACAAAGGUGUGGAAAAAGACAGAUGGGGCGUUGGGAUGGGGAGAGCAGGCGGGAGACAGAAAGCAGAAUCUCAAAGCAAUAAAAUGGGCUGGGGCUUCUGGAGACAGUGUGCCUACCCAGCACAAGGAAUCCAAAAGUCACAAUUCAGAACGUAGUGAGCAAAGAAGGCAGAAGUAAUGUCAUAGCAGGCUGCCAGCGUGCCAGAUCUGGGCAGGCUCAGACUCACCGACCCUGGAGCCUCUCCAACUUGGGGGGGUUGGCUCUCUGGCCACACCAGCCCUUCCCUUCCCUUCUUUAUCAGUUCCAAGACAAGCUUGGGAAGUGGAAGCAGGGUUAAGGUCAUAUUCCAAGGGUCUGACGGAAGAGCCAGAUGUGGGGAAGUGACAGAACAUUUUGCUUCAGGGGCAGCUAGGUGGCAUUUGGGUGAGAUACUUGAAAACCUCUGUGUCCCAUUUUCCUCAACUGUAAAAUGAAGUAGCAAUGCUGACCCCCCCCCCCAAGGAUGUUGGACAGGUAAAAAUAAGAUCCCUAGACGAAGACUGCAAGAGUUAACUGAUCCCCGGUUAUCAACGCUGAUAAAGUUGUUUUUCCUCAGUCCAGGCACUGCCUCUCCCAGCCACACCGCAUUGUGAUGUCAUAUACUUUCAAAGACCCCAUGGCAGGCUCUCUCUCACUUCCUGGAGGGAAGGUGACCGUGAAAAACGUGAAAGAAAAGGACCUAAGGGCAAGUGUCCGUGGGGUCUGGGGGUGUCUCGCUCGAUAUUCAGAGGGAGAAGCCCUCUGCUGCUGGGGAAGGCGCCCUUGCCAGGGUUCCGACGGCCUUUGCUAAGGAUAUGAAAAAACAUCUGAGCUGGAAGCCACCUGAGUGUUUUUACUUUAGUAGGGAACCCUUUGCCCUCCCCUUGAAGAGAGCCCUGAAUGACUAGAGUUUCACUUGUGUGGCAGAGGGUGUCCCCGCUGGCCCGGCCAGGGAAGGCUUUUGAAGAUGAGAGGAACCGGUCUGCAAGACCACUUCAGGCAUAUGUAACAAGACACAAUACAGUUUGUCAGCUGUCGCUUGUGCCAGAGGAAGGAACUGGAGAGUCUGGCUACUGGGCCAAGGAGGAGGGCCUGGGGAGACUGUUCUCAUUCACAGGCUUCUGUCGGUUCUUAUUCUUGAGAAAACCUCCUCUACCUUGCCCUCAGAGUACGUCCGAAGAAUUGGAAGAGGGCCUGGGGAGUGUGCUUGGUGGAUUCACUACAGGCAUUUCCAGAGGAUACUUUAGUCAACUUUUAAGCAUCUACAAAAGAAACGGUUCCACGUAAGAAUGAGAGAUGAAUUCCCAAAGCUGUGUCACGCAGGAGGUCUAGUGAGGAGGACACAGGACAGGCAGUGGUAGUUACAGGAGGGAAGACCUAGGAGUUCUUCCAGGUUGGUGCCAAGUGUCAUGAGUCUCAUGUAGCCCAAUGCUGGACAGCAUAUUCUUUUAAGUGUUGGCUGGAUGAAUGAAUGUAUGCAUGAAUGAAUGAAUGAAUGAAUGAAUGAAAGGGGGUGGCGAAUAAAAGUGUCUCAGGAUCUGCCCAACUCAAUGUCCCUCAUUUAAUAAUAAAGUGGUCUUCCCUGGAGCCCUGCAAAAGGCACUGUAAUGAACUCUUCAAAGCCACCCAGCUGCCACCACCCCACCCCACCGACCUGAAAGUUCUAAAGACCCCAGAGUAAGCCAGGAUUCAGCCUUCCCGACUUGGCAGCUUUGGAAAGCUUGAGAAGGUUUGGAGGUCCACAGGCAUGCCACACUCCAAGGAUAUCUUACCUCUUUCGACCCCUGGUUUCUCCUCUGAUUUGUUGAGCAUAUAACCAUCAAUUGUACUCGGGAUACUAUGUAGAAAGUUACCUGGUUUUUGCACAGGACUCUCCUUGUAACCUGGAUGUCUCGGCCCUUCAGAUGCUUCUCCUGUUCAAGAGGCAAGAGGCAGGAGGCUUGAAAUGGGCAAUCUGAUCACGGCCCUGCUCUGAAUGGAUCACAGGGACUAUUGCUAAUGCUACCAAAGAGCAGGGUAUCAUACUUAUUCCUGCACUGUCUCCUUGCCCCACACUCCUGCUUUUCCCAUUUUCUCGCAGUUCACGUACACAGGAAUUGUUUCCUGGCCAUGCCCUCUUGUUACCAUCAUUCCUGGUUGAAAUACUGGAGAAGCAUUGUAAUCUCCCCAGGAAGCUUCCACUGUCUGGCCUCAUGGGAUAAUUGUUACCAAAAACCACCAAUCAAGCAGUAGGUGAAGUCUAACUAGAUGGAAGAGCUGCAUACAUAAUGACCUUAAAUGUACAUAAGAAUAUGUGCCUGACAUUCUCAAACCUGAGCAGUAGAUACUGAUGGAAAUACAGGUCAGUGAGUGCCGGGGUCCCGAGCCAAUAAAGCCAUGCUAAAAUAAUUACUACCAA